GGAUGCAUGGAUGAGGAUGUCCCUAUUGAUCCCAAGGGUGGAGUCAGCAGAUGUAGCUGGUUAAGAGAAGCCCUCUUUUUCCUUGGCACUGAGCUCAUGCCUUCUGAGAUUGUGCUCAAACUAAAGAGGAAGACUUUGCCUGUGGGAGCAGAAACAGUGUUCACUCAAGAGCAUGGCAGUAGCUAAGCCCUCUGUUAGAAAUUCCAAAGGAGCUCUCAGGGCCAAUUACAUUCAUGUUUAAUGGUCAAGUUCAACAUUUAAAUGACAAAGACACAUGCGUAUACUU
rnacentral:snRNA from 1 species